rnacentral:rRNA from 1 species
GACGGAGGGUGCUAGCGUUGUUCGGAAUUACUGGGCGUAAAGGGCUCGUAGGCGGCCAAUUAAGUCAGACGUGAAAUCCCUAGGCUCAACCUAGGAACUGCGUCUGAUACUGGAUGGCUUGAAUCCGGGAGAGGGAUGCAGAAUUCCAGGUGUAGCGGUGAAAUGCGUAGAUAUCUGGAGGAAUACCGGUGGCGAAGGCGGCAUCCUGGACCGGCAUUGACGCUGAGGAGCGAAAGCCAGGGGAGCAAACGGG